UGCCGUGACCAGGAUUCGAACCUGGGUUAUUGCGGCCACAACGCAAUGUACUAACAACUAUACAUACAAUCGGA
rnacentral:tRNA from 13 species